rnacentral:rRNA from 1 species
AGUUUGAUCCUGGCUCAGAUUGAACGCUGGCGGCAUGCCUUACACAUGCAAGUCGAACGGCAGCACGGGAGCAAUCCUGGUGGCGAGUGGCGAACGGGUGAGUAACAUAUCGGAACGUGCCCAAUAGUGGGGGAUAGCCCGGCGAAAGCCGGAUUAAUACCGCAUACGACCUGAGGGUGAAAGCGGGGGAUCGCAAGACCUCGCGCUAUUGGAGCGGCCGAUAUCAGAUUAGCUAGUUGGUGGGGUAAAGGCCUACCAAGGCGACGAUCUGUAGCUGGUCUGAGAGGACGACCAGCCACACUGGGACUGAGACACGGCCCAGACUCCUACGGGAGGCAGCAGUGGGGAAUUUUGGACAAUGGGCGCAAGCCUGAUCCAGCCAUGCCGCGUGCGGGAAGAAGGCCUUCGGGUUGUAAACCGCUUUUGUCAGGGAAGAAACGGUCUGGGCUAAUACCCUGGACUAAUGACGGUACCUGAAGAAUAAGCACCGGCUAACUAC